rnacentral:rRNA from 1 species
GACAGAGGGUGCAAACGUUGUUCGGAAUUACUGGGCGUAAAGCGCGUGUAGGCGGCCCUGCAAGUCGGAUGUGAGAUCCCACGGCUCAACCGUGGAAGUGCAUUCGAAACUGCAGGGCUAGAGUCCUGGAGAGGAAGGUGGAAUGCUUGGUGUAGAGGUGAAAUUCGUAGAUAUCAAGCGGAACACCGGUGGCGAAGGCGGCCUUCUGGACAGUGACUGACGCUGAGACGCGAAAGCGUGGGGAGCAAACAGG